rnacentral:rRNA from 1 species
GAUGAACGCUGGCGGCGUGCCUAAUACAUGCAAGUCGAGCGAACAGACGAGGAGCUUGCUCCUCUGACGUUAGCGGCGGACGGGUGAGUAACACGUGGAUAACCUACCUAUAAGACUGGGAUAACUUCGGGAAACCGGAGCUAAUACCGGAUAAUAUAUUGAACCGCAUGGUUCAAUAGUGAAAGACGGUUUUGCUGUCACUUAUAGAUGGAUCCGCGCCGCAUUAGCUAGUUGGUACGGUAACGGCUUACCAAGGCAACGAUGCGUAGCCGACCUGAGAGGAUGAUCGGCCACACUGGAACUGAGACACGGUCCAGACUCCUACGGGAGGCAGCAGUAGGGAAUCUUCCGCAAUGGGCGAAAGCCUGACGGAGCAACGCCGCGUGAGUGAUGAAGGUCUUCGGAUCGUAAAACUCUGUUAUUAGGGAAGAACAAAUGUGUAAGUAACUAUGCACGUCUUGACGGUACCUAAUCAGAAAGCCACGGCUAACUACGUG